AGAGUUUGAUCAUGGCUCAGGAUGAACGCUAGCGGCAGGCUUAAUACAUGCAAGUCGAACGGUAACAGGUCGAACCUAGUUUGAUGCUGACGAGUGGCGCACGGGUGAGUAACGCGUACACAAUCUGCCUCUAAGUGGGGAAUAGCCUAUGGAAACGUAGAUUAAUACCCCAUGGUAUUACUUAAUCGCAUGAUUUUGUAAUUAAAGUUUCGACGCUUAGAGAUGAGUGUGCGUCCUAUUAGCUAGAUGGUGAGGUAACGGCUUACCAUGGCGAUGAUAGGUAGGGGGCGUGAGAGCGUGGUCCCCCACACGGGUACUGAGACACGGACCCGACUCCUACGGGAGGCAGCAGUAAGGAAUAUUGGACAAUGGGCGAAAGCCUGAUCCAGCCAUGCCGCGUGCAGGAAGACGGCCCUACGGGUUGUAAACUGCUUUUAUAUGAGAAGAACAGCUUUGACUUGUCAGAGUAUGACGGUACCAUAUGAAUAAGCACCGGCUAACUCCGUGCCAGCAGCCGCGGUAAUACGGAGGGUGCAAGCGUUAUCCGGAAUUACUGGGUUUAAAGGGUGCGUAGGCUGCAACGUAAGUCAGAAGUGAAAGCUCUCAGCUUAACUGAGGAAUUGCUUUUG
rnacentral:rRNA from 1 species